UUCUGACUACUAUUAUAUGAGUUUUGAUGGUUUGAAAUAGUGUUUAUUUUUCUGUACUUGGCAGAUAAUCUAAAUAAGGAAUUUUCCUUACUCAAUUAUCUUCCAAGUGCAGAGAAAGAGUCUGGGAAAUGUUCCUUUGUUCCCUGUCUUCAACAAAGUCCACCUGGAAUGUAAUUAAAGACACCCCUUGCAUGGGGAAUUGUAUAAAAGCCAGCUGUGGCUCAUUAAAAAACAGUUGACUCCCAAAGCUGUGUAUCGUCCAGUUAUUGGGGAAUUUGGAUAGGAUUGCCGAGCUACGCUUCUCUUGGAUAUUAUACAGGACUACCAGCGGAGAUAUUGAUGUGAAUAUUGCAACUCUGCUCCAAUGGCGUAAAUGGAUGGAUAAAUUUUAGGCUAUGCAUAGAUGAGGAUUUUCUCUAUAUCUCUAUAGAUGGUUUCCCUUUUUUUCUUAUUUAUUAUAGCUAAAAACUCUGACCUGUCUGCUGAUGGAGCAGCAAAGAAAGAGGAGGAGGAGCCUGUUCAUUGUGGAUAAUAUACUUCCUAUUGCAUUUUGAUUGGUUCUUGUUUUCACUUUUCUUUGCUGCUGUGGAGUUAGUAAAGAGAGUUUAAUGCAAAAUACUCGCCUCCUGUCAAUAUUAAAAUUAAGAUUAUAAGUACACUAAAGCUAGCAUAAUCUUCAAU